rnacentral:siRNA from 1 species
CAGUAACUUCAAUGCGAUCUC